rnacentral:ncRNA from 2 species
GGGAGCUGGAUGCGGUGAAAGUCGCACGUCCAGAUCUAACAGAGAGGGGCGAGACAUAAUAGUCUCCCUCGACUCUAC